GGCUCAGGGAGAACGCUAGCUACAGGCCUCACACACGCAAGCCGCGGGGAAAACGACGAGAGAGCUUCGCUCUCUCGGCGUUCGACCGGCGCACGGGCGAGUAACGCGUCUCCAACUCCGCCCACUCCAGGGGAAUAACCUCGCGAAAGUAAGACUAAUCGCCCCACGGUAUUCUCAGCAGACAUCUAAUGAGGAUUAAAGAUCUAUCGGUAAUCGGAUCGGGGAUCGCGUCUGAUUAGCUUCGUUGGCGGGGUAACGGCCCACCAAGGCGACGAUCAGUAGGGGUUUCUGAGAGGAAGGUCCCCCACAUUGGAACUGAGACACGGUCCAAACUCCUACGGGAGGCAGCAGUGAGGAAUAUUGGUCAAUGGACGAGAGUCUGAACCAGCCAAGUAGCGUGCAGGAUGACGGCCCUAUGGGUUGUAAACUGCUUUUAUAGGGGAAUAAAGUGGACUACGUGUAGUUUAUUGUAUGUACCCUAUGAAUAAGGACCGGCUAAUUCCGUGCCAGCAGCCGCGGUAAUACGGAAGGUUCGGGCGUUAUCCGGAUUUAUUGGGUUUAAAGGGAGCGUAGGCCGUAGAUUAAGCGUGUUGUGAAAUGUAGAUGCUCAACAUCUGACUUGCAGCGCGAACUGGUUUACUUGAGUGUGCGCAACGUAGGCGGAAUUCGUCGUGUAGCGGUGAAAUGCUUAGAUAUGACGAAGAACUCCGAUUGCGAAGGCAGCUUACGGGAGCACAACUGACGCUGAAGCUCGAAGGUGCGGGUAUCAAACAGGAUUAGAUACCCUGGUAGUCCGCACAGUAAACGCUGGAUGCCCGCUGUUGGCUCAUUAGAGUCAGCGGCCAAGCGAAAGCAUUAAGCAUCCCACCUGGGGAGUACGCCGGCAACGGUGAAACUCAAAGGAAUUGACGGGGGCCCGCACAAGCGGAGGAACAUGUGGUUUAAUUCGAUGAUACGCGAGGAACCUUACCCGGGCUUGAAUUGCAGACGCACGCGGCAGAGAUGCCAAGGCCCUUCGGGGCGUCUGUGAAGGUGCUGCAUGGUUGUCGUCAGCUCGUGCCGUGAGGUGUCGGCUUAAGUGCCAUAACGAGCGCAACCCCUUUUCUUAGUUGCCAUCAGGUCAUGCUGGGCACUCUGGGAAUACUGCCACCGUAAGGUGUGAGGAAGGUGGGGAUGACGUCAAAUCAGCACGGCCCUUACGUCCGGGGCUACACACGUGUUACAAUGGCCGGUACAGAGGGCAGGUUGCAUGUAAAUGCGAUCGAAUCUUAAAAGCCGGUCCCAGUUCGGACUGAGGUCUGCAACCCGACCUCACGAAGCUGGAUUCGCUAGUAAUCGCGCAUCAGCCAUGGCGCGGUGAAUACGUUCCCGGGCCUUGUACACACCGCCCGUC
rnacentral:rRNA from 1 species